CCAAAGGCCCUUUUUAGGGCCACCCAUAUUCUCACUAAAGAGGUGU
rfam:Monodelphis domestica chromosome 2, whole genome shotgun sequence.